UGCGUACCUUUUGUAUAAUGGGUCAGCGACUUAUAUUCUGUAGCAAGGUUAACCGAAUAGGGGAGCCGAAGGGAAACCGAGUCUUAACCGGGCGUUAAGUUGCAGGGUAUAGACCCGAAACCCGGUGAUCUAGCCAUGGGCAGGUUGAAGGUUGGGUAACACUAACUGGAGGACCGAACCGACUAAUGUUGAAAAAUUAGCGGAUGACUUGUGGCUGGGGGUGAAAGGCCAAUCAAACCGGGAGAUAGCUGGUUCUCCCCGAAAGCUAUUUAGGUAGCGCCUCGUGAAUUCAUCUCCGGGGGUAGAGCACUGUUUCGGCAAGGGGGUCAUCCCGACUUACCAACCCGAUGCAAACUGCGAAUACCGGAGAAUGUUAUCACGGGAGACACACGGCGGGUGCUAACGUCCGUCGUGAAGAGGGAAACAACCCAGACCGCCAGCUAAGGUCCCAAAGUCAUGGUUAAGUGGGAAACGAUGUGGGAAGGCCCAGACAGCCAGGAUGUUGGCUUAGAAGCAGCCAUCAUUUAAAGAAAGCGUAAUAGCUCACUGGUCGAGUCGGCCUGCGCGGAAGAUGUAACGGGGCUAAACCAUGCACCGAAGCUGCGGCAGCGACACUGUGUGUUGUUGGGUAGGGGAGCGUUCUGUAAGCCUGUGAAGGUGUGCUGUGAGGCAUGCUGGAGGUAUCAGAAGUGCGAAUGCUGACAUAAGUAACGAUAAAGCGGGUGAAAAGCCCGCUCGCCGGAAGACCAAGGGUUCCUGUCCAACGUUAAUCGGGGCAGGGUGAGUCGACCCCUAAGGCGAGGCCGAAAGGCGUAGUCGAUGGGAAACAGGUUAAUAUUCCUGUACUUGGUGUUACUGCGAAGGGGGGACGGAGAAGGCUAUGUUGGCCGGGCGACGGUUGUCCCGGUUUAAGCGUGUAGGCUGGUUUUCCAGGCAAAUCCGGAAAAUCAAGGCUGAGGCGUGAUGACGAGGCACUACGGUGCUGAAGCAACAAAUGCCCUGCUUCCAGGAAAAGCCUCUAAGCAUCAGGUAACAUCAAAUCGUACCCCAAACCGACACAGGUGGUCAGGUAGAGAAUACCAAGGCGCUUGAGAGAACUCGGGUGAAGGAACUAGGCAAAAUGGUGCCGUAACUUCGGGAGAAGGCACGCUGAUAUGUAGGUGAAGUCCCUCGCGGAUGGAGCUGAAAUCAGUCGAAGAUACCAGCUGGCUGCAACUGUUUAUUAAAAACACAGCACUGUGCAAACACGAAAGUGGACGUAUACGGUGUGACGCCUGCCCGGUGCCGGAAGGUUAAUUGAUGGGGUCAGCGCAAGCGAAGCUCUUGAUCGAAGCCCCGGUAAACGGCGGCCGUAACUAUAACGGUCCUAAGGUAGCGAAAUUCCUUGUCGGGUAAGUUCCGACCUGCACGAAUGGCGUAAUGAUGGCCAGGCUGUCUCCACCCGAGACUCAGUGAAAUUGAACUCGCUGUGAAGAUGCAGUGUACCCGCGGCAAGACGGAAAGACCCCGUGAACCUUUACUAUAGCUUGACACUGAACAUUGAGCCUUGAUGUGUAGGAUAGGUGGGAGGCUUUGAAGUGUGGACGCCAGUCUGCAUGGAGCCGACCUUGAAAUACCACCCUUUAAUGUUUGAUGUUCUAACGUGGACCCGUGAUCCGGGUUGCGGACAGUGUCUGGUGGGUAGUUUGACUGGGGCGGUCUCCUCCUAAAGAGUAACGGAGGAGCACGAAGGUUGGCUAAUCCUGGUCGGACAUCAGGAGGUUAGUGCAAUGGCAUAAGCCAGCUUGACUGCGAGCGUGACGGCGCGAGCAGGUGCGAAAGCAGGUCAUAGUGAUCCGGUGGUUCUGAAUGGAAGGGCCAUCGCUCAACGGAUAAAAGGUACUCCGGGGAUAACAGGCUGAUACCGCCCAAGAGUUCAUAUCGACGGCGGUGUUUGGCACCUCGAUGUCGGCUCAUCACAUCCUGGGGCUGAAGUAGGUCCCAAGGGUAUGGCUGUUCGCCAUUUAAAGUGGUACGCGAGCUGGGUUUAGAACGUCGUGAGACAGUUCGGUCCCUAUCUGCCGUGGGCGCUGGAGAACUGAGGGGGGCUGCUCCUAGUACGAGAGGACCGGAGUGGACGCAUCACUGGUGUUCGGGUUGUCAUGCCAAUGGCACUGCCCGGUAGCUAAAUGCGGAAGAGAUAAGUGCUGAAAGCAUCUAAGCACGAAACUUGCCCCGAGAUGAGUUCUCCCUGACCCUUUAAGGGUCCUGAAGGAACGUUGAAGACGACGACGUUGAUAGGCCGGGUGUGUAAGCGCAGCGAUGCGUUGAGCUAACCGGUACUAAUGAACCGUGAGGCUUAACCUU
rnacentral:rRNA from 1 species